rnacentral:tRNA from 1 species
GGCCCCGUAGCUCAGCCUGGUAGAGCGUCGGUCUGAUAACGAGGAGCUGUCCUCGGCAGAAAACCGGAGGUCCGGGGUUCAAAUCCCCGCGGGGCCA